rnacentral:rRNA from 1 species
AACGAACGCUGGCGGCAGGCUUAACACAUGCAAGUUGAACGGGAUUGGUUGAUAGCUUGCUAUUAAUCAUGAGAGUAGCGCACUGGUGAGUAACACGUGGGAACAUACCUUUUGGUGGGGGACAACAGUUGGAAACGACUGCUAAUACCGCAUAAGCCCUGAGGGGGAAAGAUUUAUUGCCGAAAGAUUGGCCCGCGGAAGAUUAGGUAGUAGGUGGGGUAAUGGCCUACCUAGCCGACGAUCUAUAGCUGGUCUGAGAGGACGAUCAGCCACAUUGGAACUGAGACACGGUCCAGACUCC